rnacentral:rRNA from 1 species
GACGAACCGUGCGAACGUUAUUCGGAAUCACUGGGCUUAAAGCGCGUGUAGGCGGGUCGGCACGUCGGUCGCUGAAAUCCCCCGGCUCAACCGGGGAACGGGCCCCGAUACGACCGACCUGGAGGGGGGUAGGGGGCGCCGGAACUUCCGGUGGAGCGGUGAAAUGCGUUGAGAUCGGAAGGAACGCCCGUGGCGAAAGCGGGCGCCUGGACCCCACCUGACGCUGAGACGCGAAAGCCAGGGGAGCGAACGGG